UAUGGAGACUACAUAUCCUUGCCUGUCUAGU
rnacentral:piRNA from 1 species